AGGGCACCACCAGGAGUGGAGCCUGCGGCUUAAUUUGACUCAACACGGGAAAACUCACCCGGCCCGGACACUGGAAGGAUUGACAGAUUGAGAGCUCUUUCUUGAUUCAGUGGGUGGUGGUGCGUGGCCGUUCUUAGUUGGUGGAGUGAUUUGUCUGGUUAAUUCCGAUAACGAACGAGACUCUAGCCUACUAAAUAGAUCGUCGGCUUACAAACGCCGGCGAGACUUCUUAGAGGGACAGGCGGUGAUUCAACCGCACGAAACAGAGCAAUAACAGGUCUGUGAUGCCCUUAGAUGUCCGGGGCCGCACGCGCGCUACACUGAAGUGAUCAGCGUGCUUUUUCAACCUACUCUGUCAAGAGUGGGGAACCCAAUGAACCUUCUUCGUGAUUGGGAUAGGGGAUUGUAAUUAUUCCCCUUGAACGAGGAAUUCCCGGUAAGCGCGAGUCAUAAGCUCGCGUUGAUUACGUCCCUGCCCUUUGUACACACCGCCCGUCGCUACUACCGAUUGAAUGUUUU
rnacentral:rRNA from 1 species